rnacentral:rRNA from 1 species
AGUGAACGCUGGCGGUAGGCCUAACACAUGCAAGCCGAACGGCAGCACAGUAAGAGCUUGCUCUUACGGGUGGCGAGUGGCGGACGGGUGAGGAAUACAUCGGAAUCUACUUUUUCGUGGGGGAUAACGUAGGGAAACUUACGCUAAUACCGCAUACGACCUACGGGUGAAAGCAGGGGAUCUUCGGGCCUUGCGCGAUUGAAUGAGCCGAUGUCGGAUUAGCUAGUUGGCGGGGUAAAGGCCCACCAAGGCGACGAUCCGUAGCUGGUCUGAGAGGAUGAUCAGCCACACUGGAACUGAGACACGGUCCAGACUCCUACGGGAGGCAGCAGUGGGGAAUAUUGGACAAUGGGCGCAAGCCUGAUCCAGCCAUACCGCGUGGGUGAAGAAGGCCUUCGGGUUGUAAAGCCCUUUUGUUGGGAAAGAAAAGCAGCAGGUUAAUACCCCGCUGUUCUGACGGUACCCAAAGAAUAAGCACCGGCUAACUUCGUG